rnacentral:ncRNA from 1 species
AUUAAUUAAUUUUUGUAAUUAAUUUUAUAAAAAAAAAAUUUUUAUAUAAAAAAAUUUUUUAAAAAGUUUAUAUUUAUUAGUAGAGAAAAUUAUUUAUUUAAGAAAUUAAGAUAUAGAUUUUUUUUUAAAAAUUAAUAAAAAUUAUGCCCGCAAUAGCGGUUAUAUAAUUAAUUUGAAUAAAAUUGAUUUAUGAAUAAUUUAAUAUGAUUUAUUUAUUAUAAUAUAAAUUAUAAGGUGAAAUUUUUAAUUUAUAGGUAAGUUGAGUAAUUUAAUUAGUAAAUUUUUUUUUAAACUAGGAUUAGAUACCCUAUUAUUUAAAGUUUGUUAAUAAUUUAUAAGAAAGUAUUUGUUUAUUAAAAGAAAAUGAUUAAAUUUGGCAGUAUUUUAGGCAAAUUARAGGAAUCUGUUAAUUAAUAGAUUUAUCACGAUUAUAAAUAUUUUAUUUAUAUUGUYUUUAUAUCAUUGUUAAAAGAAAAUAAWUUAKAUAUUUUAUAAAUUUCUUAAUAUUAUAUAAUAUUAUUUCAAAUCAAGAUUUAAUUAAUAAUAAAAUUUUAAUGGAUUACAUUUUUUUUUUAAAAGUGAAUUAGAUGCUUAAGCAUUUAUGAAAGAGGAUUUAAUAGUAAUUUUUUAUUAAUUUAGAAAAUGAGUGGGUUUUAAAGUAUGCACAUAUUGCCCGUCAAUUUUUUUUAAAAAUAAGUCGUAACAAAGUAGAGGUACUGGAAGGUGUCUCUGAUUUAAAUUA